GUGGGGAAUAUUGGACAAUGGGCGCAAGCCUGAUCCAGCAAUGCCGCGUGCAGGAAGAAGGCCUUCGGGUUGUAAACUGCUUUUGUACGGAACGAAACGGUCCUGGUUAAUACCUGGGGCUAAUGACGGUACCGUAAGAAUAAGCACCGGCUAACUACGUGCCAGCAGCCGCGGUAAUACGUAGGGUGCGAGCGUUAAUCGGAAUUACUGGGCGUAAAGCGUGCGCAGGCGGUGCUGUAAGACAGGCGUGAAAUCCCCGGGCUCAACCUGGGAAUUGCGCUUGUGACUGCAGUGCUGGAGUACGGCAGAGGGGGAUGGAAUUCCGCGUGUAGCAGUGAAAUGCGUAGAUAUGCGGAGGAACACCGAUGGCGAAGGCAGUCCCCUGGGCCUGUACUGACGCUCAUGCACGAAAGCGUGGGGAGCAAACAGGAUUAGAUACCCGAGUAGUCC
rnacentral:rRNA from 1 species